rnacentral:rRNA from 1 species
GAUGAACGCUGGCGGCGUGCCUAAUACAUGCAAGUCGAGCGAACGGACGAGAAGCUUGCUUCUCUGAUGUUAGCGGCGGACGGGUGAGUAACACGUGGAUAACCUACCUAUAAGACUGGGAUAACUUCGGGAAACCGGAGCUAAUACCGGAUGAUAUUUUGAACCGCAUGGUUCAAAAGUGAAAGACGGUCUUGCUGUCACUUAUAGAUGGAUCCGCGCUGCAUUAGCUAGUUGGUAAGGUAACGGCUUACCAAGGCAACGAUGCAUAGCCGACCUGAGAGGGUGAUCGGCCACACUGGAACUGAGACACGGUCCAGACUCCUACGGGAGGCAGCAGUAGGGAAUCUUCCGCAAUGGGCGAAAGCCUGACGGAGCAACGCCGCGUGAGUGAUGAAGGUCUUCGGAUCGUAAAACUCUGUUAUUAGGGAAGAACAUAUGUGUAAGUAACUGUGCACAUCUUGACGGUACCUAAUCAGUAAGCCACGGCUAACUACGUG